rnacentral:lncRNA from 1 species
UCACUAAAAACAAGGACGAGUGUAUAUUUAAAGAAGUUCAAAAGAUCAUUUAUCAAGAAGAGAAGAAUAAGAAAAAUAAAAAAAGAGAAAAAUUCAAUUCCAGUAGCCACUUGUAUACUAUGGUUUUUACCGUGCUUAUAUCUUAAGACUAUAUUUUAUCAUACAGGAUUCAUACAUUUGAUACACAGUGAUAUUGUACAGAUACAAAAACUCGAGGAAAGAAGAAAGGAGAUGAAGGAACGAGAAGAAAGAAGAAAAGAGAUGAAGAGAAGCAUACCUGAUUAAGAAACCUGAAGAAGAAAGGAAAUGACGGGUCUGUUGUCGACUAGAAGGAGAAAGAGUAAAGAAAUAGCGUCCCUUCAUUGAAGAAACUUGAAGAAGUAAGGAAAUGACUGGUCUGCUAUUGACUAGAAGGAGAAAUUGUAAAGAAAUAACGUCCCCUUAUUUUUGUUUUAACAGAUCGCUGCAGCUAUAUCCUUCAUUUUGUUUUUUCAAAAAAGCGACACUACAGCUAGCCACAUGCUAUAGAGAGGCGGAGGCGCUCCAUAAUACCAUUUUCAUCUUCCUGCAAAAAUUUGAGAAUACAUAAAUCAGUUAACUUUGUUCUUUAAUGAGAUCAAGAAUUCGAUGUUUAAAGAAAUUUUCCCAGAAGAAAGUGCAGAGCAAGUAUAAGCAACUGCAAAUAUUAAAAAACAAGUUGAAGCACAAAAGAGACAUGUUUUCCAUUUUCUUUACAGUUGGUUAAAGAUGUUCUCAAUAGAGCAUAAGGAGAGGAAUUUAGAGUUCAAACAACCCCAAGUUUCAGCUGUAAUGAAGCACACAAAAACAGAAAUUGGGAAUCCUACUGUACCAUUGAAAAAUUAUGUACAUCGGAUAUCUGAUAAGGCUGAUCAGUCAGCUUCACAAGAGAGAAGUUCGAGCUUGCUCACUCGACCUAUGGCAGCACAUAAAAUAGCUGAACACGCAACUUCUACUUUUUCUAUUGCACACACCGAAAAUGUUGUUGCUAUGGAAAAUGCAGCAGAAACUAUGCCAACUGAUGGUAGAUGCGGUCAUCCUAACAUAAUGCAUAAUCCUACUUUGCAAAAUGAUGGCAUGUACACUAUAUCAACUGAUCGGAGGUGAUGACAUGUACACUAUACCAUAUGCCUUUAUGGUUUUCCCAAAGCAAUUUGUUUUAAGGUUAUGCUCACCUACUUGAAGAAGCAAACAACAACUACAACAACAAGAACUACCCAAUAUAGUCCCAUAAAGUAGGGUCUGGGGAGGGUAAUAUGUAGACAAGCCUUACCCCUACCCGAAAAGACAGAGAGGCCGUUUCCAGUCGACCCUCGGCAGCAUAAGCAUCAGCCAGAUAAAAAAAAUGAGUUUUAUCUUAACUGGAACAUAUAGUGGUAACAAUCACUAGAUAUUAAGAUAGAUUAUAAGCUUUCAGCCUUGUGCACAAGCUUGGUAUCAACACGUAAAACCGAAGUCACUCCACAUUUAGAGGAAUUCCCAAAAGACAUUCAAUUUCUUUGAAAUGUGUAUAAAUUUCUCAGGUAUUCAUGUAUUCAAGCUCCAUAAUUUAAUAAAAUCAAAUACAGAAGGCAUAUUUAACUACAAGUCAACAUAUAAAUAACCAGAAGUAAAUAGGCAAAUAAAAAAAGCAAAAACUCAUGAUAACUAAUAAGCUACAAAUGUAGAAGCAAAAAGAUCAAGAAGUCUAUAGUACCAUCCAUCUCAAUUGAAAAAAAGGAAUAAAAGAUUUGUCUCUAGCUGAGACGAAUAUUGAAAUUCCAAGGACAAAAUCAUGCUUCAGCAAAGUGCAAUAUAGUUCAAUGCAAUUAAUUAACAGACAUAUAUUCGUUAAAAAAUAUAUGUAUGCGUACGCCUAAAGUUUCUCAGACACUUUUCUUCUUUUAGGGGAAAUCCUCAAAGGUUUGGCAGGAUAGAGUUGCCAAAUAAGUUUCUAAUCAUUUUAUCUUUGUGUUCGCAUUUGAAUAAUAGUUAUGGUCAACCAAAUUUUUAAUCAUUCGCUCUUAGUGUUUGUAUUUUAAUACCUAUUUCAGUCCUUUCUCAUAUUAGAGUAGCAAAAGUAUGCUAGAAUUAACACAAUCAUAAAACAAAUAAUUCCUAAUUCACCAAGUGAUCUGGCGUUAGGUACAACAUUUUAGAAACUUAUACACUUCGAGAAACUUAACUUAGUUACUAUUAACUUGAGAACGACUACAUUAUUAUUCAUGAACAAACAAACUUGAGGGUCCCUAUCCAUGGUUAAGAAAAGGUUCAAAAAUAGCUAAUUCUUUCAGUUGUCUCUUAACUACAAGCACUAAAAAUGUUGUUCCCAUGGAAUGAAACUCAUUUUGCACAGAGGAUAGUAGGCACCACAAGAUUUACUUUCGCACCUCAAAGAGUCCUUCAGACAAUUAAAUGCUCAUUUAAAAUACCCUACUAUUACACAAGUUCUAUGUAUGUCGAUUAAAUCAAGAACAAAUCCAAGAAGAAAGAAAUUUACAUACAACAUUGAUUGAAUAAGAAACAUCCUGUCGACUAGCAUAUGAACAAUAAUGCGACGAUAUCAUAAUAAGCAGUCAAUGUUCACCAAAGAUGAUUUCUUUUCUUAUGGGAAUAAAUUCGAUCAUAUAUUUGCUGGACCAAAAAAGAAAAUGAAAACAACCAAAAAAAAUGGACAAACUAUAAAAUCAAAUAGAAGUUCCGAUAUAAAUGCACCAACUUCAUUAAUCAAGAAACAUUAAAAUAGUAGUAGCUAGAAAUCACAUUCUAGUUGUCAAAUAAUAAGGAGAAAGAGGAAGUGAGAGAAGCAAAGUGUAAGUUCAUUUUUCCGAUUUCAGGAAAAUGGAACAUCCAAUAAUUUACUUUAUGAGAAAAUCAUUGGAUACCAUUUGUGUAAAUAUCCCUGCACUACCAUAUGUGUAGACAAGCCUACAAUACCAUAUGCAUAUCAUAUGUUUUGAUAGAAUGCUUCUUGCAAAGUAUUGAAUGUUCAAGAUGGCCUUAAAAUGUGUAUAAGUGCAUAAGUAGCUUGUAUCAUAUGAGCAUGUAUUGAACUUAUUCUUGUAAAGCUUUAAAACAUGUUUGACUUAUACUUACAUGUAUUUACACAAAUGCUACUUCAAGUAGAUGCGCAUAACCUAAAUGAAAUUGUGUUGCAAAACUAUACCAACUGAUCGGAAAUGAUGGCAUGUACACCAUACAAGUUUAAAUCGGCCUUUAGAGGCAGAUAAAUUUGCAAAUUGCUGAAAGGAAAAUAGAAGAAAUGACAUACGAACUGCGGAAUAUCGAACUAAUUCUAUAAUUUGGUAAGCGAAAUACAUGAUUUUAUGAGAGAUUGUCCCAAGACUCAUCUUGCAAUGUGAUGCCUCGAGCCAUAGGUGUAUAUAAGUGAAAUGCGACUAUCCAUAAUAUUAAUUUUCUUAAAUUUUGUAAUUGUAUCCUAAUAUCUAACAAGAAAAACCCAUUUUGGAACACAAGAUCCAACGAAACAAAAAAGAAACACAAAAAGUGAAAUCCCCAUAUAUAUACAUCAAUUUUCCCCAACUCUACCAACUUUAAAUUUUCCUAUUUAUGUUUUAUAAUUCUGUCAACCUCAACAAUGGAUUUUUGAAGGGUAGUUGUCACUUUAAUUCCUCCCAAACAGCAGUAAACUCAAUAUUAAGUACAAAAUAAACUUCAAAUAAAAUUUUAGCUCAAAGAAUUUAAACCCAGUUUCUCAAACUCCAAUUUUACUAAAACCCAACUUUUUUUUUCAUUGAUUUUUUUUCCAGAAAACUCAACUCUUCAUCAAAUCCGAGAUACAAAUUUCAAAAUACACCAAAAUUAAAAGCUAAACGUAAAUUAGAAUAAAAUAUAGUAACUUCAUAGAAACCAAUUUGCGUAUUUUAUAAUCUUUUCCAAAAACAUUUGAAUAGAAAACCUAGAGAUAGGGAACUUAUAAGCCAUGGAGGAGUGCAUGAAAGCCUAUUGGGGUAGAGAGCAAUACAUGUCGAAGCCUUUGAUGGUCGAAAUCCUUCGCUGGUCAAAAUCCUCGCUAGAUUCGGAACUGGUUUUUCCUCUUGAAGAUGCUUCAAUGGAGGGUUUUUCUCAAUGAACUAAAUAGAAAAGCUUUUACAUUGACUGAUCGAAUCUCUAUGGAACCAAUUUUCACUCUUGAAGAACCUUCAUAGCUUUUUAAUUUUAGUCGUUUUUGUUCUCGAAGAAGACACUGCUCUCUUUUCUUUAAUUUGAUAUAAUGAAAAAAAGAAGACACGGUACUCGUUUUUACUUAUUUGACAUAAUUGUUUUUAAUUGAAACAAGAAGCAUUCGCGGUUUUGUGAAAUAGUGGAGGGAAUGAAAUACCCAAAGAACCGUCCUCACAAAGUAUUUUUACAAAACUAUCUCUAUAGU